GGUUAAGCGACUAAGCGUACACGGUGGAUGCCCUGGCAGUCAGAGGCGAUGAAGGACGUGCUAAUCUGCGAUAAGCGUCGGUGAGGUGAUAUGAACCGUUAUAACCGGCGAUUUCCGAAUGGGGAAACCCAGUGUGUUUCGACACACUAUCAUUAACUGAAUCCAUAGGUUAAUGAGGCGAACCGGGGGAACUGAAACAUCUAAGUACCCCGAGGAAAAGAAAUCAACCGAGAUUCCCCCAGUAGCGGCGAGCGAACGGGGAGCAGCCCAGAGCCUGAAUCAGUGUGUGUGUUAGUGGAAGCGUCUGGAAAGGCGUGCGAUACAGGGUGACAGCCCCGUACACAAAAAUGCACAUACUGUGAGCUCGAUGAGUAGGGCGGGACACGUGGUAUCCUGUCUGAAUAUGGGGGGACCAUCCUCCAAGGCUAAAUACUCCUGACUGACCGAUAGUGAACCAGUACCGUGAGGGAAAGGCGAAAAGAACCCCGGCGAGGGGAGUGAAAAAGAACCUGAAACCGUGUACGUACAAGCAGUGGGAGCCUCUUAAUGGGGUGACUGCGUACCUUUUGUAUAAUGGGUCAGCGACUUAUAUUCUGUAGCAAGGUUAACCGAAUAGGGGAGCCGAAGGGAAACCGAGUCUUAACUGGGCGUUAAGUUGCAGGGUAUAGACCCGAAACCCGGUGAUCUAGCCAUGGGCAGGUUGAAGGUUGGGUAACACUAACUGGAGGACCGAACCGACUAAUGUUGAAAAAUUAGCGGAUGACUUGUGGCUGGGGGUGAAAGGCCAAUCAAACCGGGAGAUAGCUGGUUCUCCCCGAAAGCUAUUUAGGUAGCGCCUCGUGAAUUCAUCUCCGGGGGUAGAGCACUGUUUCGGCAAGGGGGUCAUCCCGACUUACCAACCCGAUGCAAACUGCGAAUACCGGAGAAUGUUAUCACGGGAGACACACGGCGGGUGCUAACGUCCGUCGUGAAGAGGAAAACAACCCAGACCGCCAGCUAAGGUCCCAAAGUCAUGGUUAAGUGGGAAACGAUGUGGGAAGGCCCAGACAGCCAGGAUGUUGGCUUAGAAGCAGCCAUCAUUUAAAGAAAGCGUAAUAGCUCACUGGUCGAGUCGGCCUGCGCGGAAGAUGUAACGGGGCUAAACCAUGCACCGAAGCUGCGGCAGCGACACUAUGUGUUGUUGGGUAGGGGAGCGUUCUGUAAGCCUGUGAAGGUGUACUGUGAGGUAUGCUGGAGGUAUCAGAAGUGCGAAUGCUGACAUAAGUAACGAUAAAGCGGGUGAAAAGCCCGCUCGCCGGAAGACCAAGGGUUCCUGUCCAACGUUAAUCGGGGCAGGGUGAGUCGACCCCUAAGGCGAGGCCGAAAGGCGUAGUCGAUGGGAAACAGGUUAAUAUUCCUGUACUUGGUGUUACUGCGAAGGGGGGACGGAGAAGGCUAUGUUGGCCGGGCGACGGUUGUCCCGGUUUAAGCGUGUAGGCUGGUUUUCCAGGCAAAUCCGGAAAAUCAAGGCUGAGGCGUGAUGACGAGGCACUACGGUGCUGAAGCAACAAAUGCCCUGCUUCCAGGAAAAGCCUCUAAGCAUCAGGUAACAUCAAAUCGUACCCCAAACCGACACAGGUGGUCAGGUAGAGAAUACCAAGGCGCUUGAGAGAACUCGGGUGAAGGAACUAGGCAAAAUGGUGCCGUAACUUCGGGAGAAGGCACGCUGAUAUGUAGGUGAAGUCCCUUGCGGAUGGAGCUGAAAUCAGUCGAAGAUACCAGCUGGCUGCAACUGUUUAUUAAAAACACAGCACUGUGCAAACACGAAAGUGGACGUAUACGGUGUGACGCCUGCCCGGUGCCGGAAGGUUAAUUGAUGGGGUUAGCGGUAACGCGAAGCUCUUGAUCGAAGCCCCGGUAAACGGCGGCCGUAACUAUAACGGUCCUAAGGUAGCGAAAUUCCUUGUCGGGUAAGUUCCGACCUGCACGAAUGGCGUAAUGAUGGCCAGGCUGUCUCCACCCGAGACUCAGUGAAAUUGAACUCGCUGUGAAGAUGCAGUGUACCCGCGGCAAGACGGAAAGACCCCGUGAACCUUUACUAUAGCUUGACACUGAACAUUGAGCCUUGAUGUGUAGGAUAGGUGGGAGGCUUUGAAGUGUGGACGCCAGUCUGCAUGGAGCCGGCCUUGAAAUACCACCCUUUAAUGUUUGAUGUUCUAACGUUGGCCCCUGAUCGGGGUUGCGGACAGUGUCUGGUGGGUAGUUUGACUGGGGCGGUCUCCUCCUAAAGAGUAACGGAGGAGCACGAAGGUUGGCUAAUCCUGGUCGGACAUCAGGAGGUUAGUGCAAUGGCAUAAGCCAGCUUGACUGCGAGCGUGACGGCGCGAGCAGGUGCGAAAGCAGGUCAUAGUGAUCCGGUGGUUCUGAAUGGAAGGGCCAUCGCUCAACGGAUAAAAGGUACUCCGGGGAUAACAGGCUGAUACCGCCCAAGAGUUCAUAUCGACGGCGGUGUUUGGCACCUCGAUGUCGGCUCAUCACAUCCUGGGGCUGAAGUAGGUCCCAAGGGUAUGGCUGUUCGCCAUUUAAAGUGGUACGCGAGCUGGGUUUAGAACGUCGUGAGACAGUUCGGUCCCUAUCUGCCGUGGGCGCUGGAGAACUGAGGGGGGCUGCUCCUAGUACGAGAGGACCGGAGUGGACGCAUCACUGGUGUUCGGGUUGUCAUGCCAAUGGCACUGCCCGGUAGCUAAAUGCGGAAGAGAUAAGUGCUGAAAGCAUCUAAGCACGAAACUUGCCCCGAGAUGAGUUCUCCCUGACUCCUUGAGAGUCCUGAAGGAACGUUGAAGACGACGACGUUGAUAGGCCGGGUGUGUAAGCGCAGCGAUGCGUUGAGCUAACCGGUACUAAUGAACCGUGAGGCUUAACCUU
rnacentral:rRNA from 1 species